rnacentral:sRNA from 1 species
AUAAGUUAAUUUUCUUUUCCAGUUAAUGAUUUUCGCAGUGUUUCCUUGAACUUGCUACAGACACAUUUUAAGAAAGCCCAAGAAAAUCAGCAGAUUGGGAGGGUCGAAUUUCUUCCAGUCAACUGGCACAGUCCUUUGCAUUCUACUGGUGUGGAUGUAGAUCUGCAGCGAAUAACCCUGCCCAGCAUUAACCGCCUCAGGCACUUCACCAAUGACACAAUUCUGGAUGUCUUCUUCUACAAUAGUCCCACCUACUGUCAGACUAUUGUGGACACAGUUGCUUCUGAAAUGAACCGAAUAUACACACUUUUUCUGCAGAGGAACCCUGAUUUCAAAGGGGGUGUAUCCAUUGCUGGUCAUAGUUUAGGUAACAAAAUGAGUUCUGUGUGACCAGAGAAGACUAGCACAUUUUAAAGACACCUGUUAGCACAAUGUCUUGUAUCCGUAUGAAAUUCAGAGGUCUAGAAGUGGUCUGUGAUCAAGAAAUUUGGAAGGGGUUGGAAGGGUGGCGGUAAAUUGGAAAGAAAGACUCCUUGCUAUGUAGAUUUGGUUACAUAUGUAAUUGGCUU